AUUGAACGCUGGCGGCAGGCUUAACACAUGCAAGUCGAGCGGGGUGAUGGUGCUUGCACUAUCACUUAGCGGCGGACGGGUGAGUAAUGCUUAGGAAUCUGCCUAUUAGUGGGGGACAACAUCUCGAAAGGGAUGCUAAUACCGCAUACGUCCUACGGGAGAAAGCAGGGGAUCACUUGUGACCUUGCGCUAAUAGAUGAGCCUAAGUCGGAUUAGCUAGUUGGGGGGAUAAAGGCCUACCAAGGCGACGAUCUGUAGCGGGUCUGAGAGGAUGAUCCGCCACACUGGGACUGAGACACGGCCCAGACUCCUACGGGAGGCAGCAGUGGGGAAUAUUGGACAAUGGGGGGAACCCUGAUCCAGCCAUGCCGCGUGUGUGAAGAAGGCCUUAUGGUUGUAAAGCACUUUAAGCGAGGAGGAGGCUCUUUUGGUUAAUACCCAAGAUGAGUGGACGUUACUCGCAGAAUAAGCACCGGCUAACUCUGUGCCAGCCGCCGCGGUAA
rnacentral:rRNA from 1 species